UACGGAGGGUGCGAGCGUUGUCCGGAAUCACUGGGCGUAAAGGGCGCGUAGGCGGCGCGGAUAGUCGGCGGUGAAAGCCCGGAGCUCAACUCCGGGUCGGCCGUCGAUACUUCCGGGCUUGGAGCACUGUAGAGGCAGAUGGAAUUCCGGGUGUAGCGGUGGAAUGCGUAGAGAUCCGGAAGAACACCGGUGGCGAAGGCGGUCUGCUGGGCAGUUGCUGACGCUGAUGCGCGACAGCGUGGG
rnacentral:rRNA from 1 species